UAUAAAAAUAUAAAUGAAGCAUUAAAUUAAAAAAAUAGAAGUUGUAGUCAAUUCAAACCCUUAAGUCUUUUUCUUACAGAGUUCAGAUUAUCUUUAAGCUUGUGAAGGUUUUUUGUUAGCCUGAUUCUGCUAAUCAAUGUGUUACCUGUCUUUCCCAGAUUUAGGUUAUCCUUAAAUUCAAAUUCUUGUAUCUUAUUUAGAUUUGGGGUAACAAUUUCAAAUGGGACAGGUAUGGGUAAGGGACAUUACAGAUGUUCCUCCUAGUUAAAAAAUAUCCACAUUUAUUAAAUGCUUACUAUUCCAAGUGCUUUUAGACAAUUUAUUUAAUUUCUACAACAGUGCUCCAAGGAAAAUAUAAUUACUAUUACUUCUAUUUUUACAGGUGAGGAAUUGAAGCUUAAAAAGAUAAAGCAACCUUGCCUAAGGUCACAUAACUAAGUAGUAGAGCCAUCACUGAAACCUAGGCAGGCUAGUUCCAGAAACCACACUUUAACCACUUCCCUAUAUUGCCUUUUAUUAAAUAAUUUAUGUCUCUAGAUAUGAUUAUACAACCAGUUUUGAAUAUACUAACUGAACUAUUAUUAAUACCACAUUUCUUCAAUUUGCUCACAACAAACGACUUAGUUAAAUGCUUUAUACCGUCUAUAGCUUUCCCUGAUCUAGUAAUCCUAUUAAAACAAAUUAAGUUAUGUUGAUGCAAUCUGUUAUGGUGAACUCAUCAUGGCUCCUAGUGAUCACUACUUCAUUACUUAAGUGCUCACAAAACAUCUGUUUAAUAAUCCUAUUUUGUCAGGCAUUGAGAUGGAGCUCAUGAACAUUAGUAAUUUUUGUAGUUGGUGGCCUGUUCAAAUUUUUAUGGAAAUCAGAUGUUUGCCUAUCUUAUGGCAGUUUUCCCAUUUUCCAUGGUUAUGAACAGAUUCCAGGGUUAAUACUAGAUUUCCUCAGUGCCACAAAAUGUCACUCAUCUGGAGCUGGAGAAUAGAAUUCAUGUAAAGUACCUAUACCCUCUCUUUUAUAAAAUCAGCUUACUACUCUAUGACUUCCCAAUUUCACUUAAAAGCACCUAACAAUCAAUUAUAAUUACUCAGGGUCAAAACCUGAAAGCCUUCAAUUUCUGUUUUCCUUAACUCUAUCUCUUAACAAGCUCUUCAUUAAAAAAAAAAGUAUUAUCAGAGUUCCAGUCAAGAUGGAGGUAUAGGCAAGCAUGGCUCACCUCCUUGCACAAUC